rfam:Syphacia muris strain Valencia genome assembly, scaffold: SMTV_scaffold0000193
GGGGGUUUAGCUCAGGGGUAGAGCGCUCGCUUCGCAUGCGAGAAGUCGGGGGUUCGAAUCCCCCAUCCUCCA